ensembl:lncRNA
UAGAUGUGUAGGAAGCAAGUGAAGAAGCUGAACAACCUUUCCUUGUCUGCUACCCUCGUGGUCAGUGGGACAAUCACAGUUAAUGGACCAGAUCUGUCCAUUAACUGUUUCUAGACCAAUUCCUGAUCGCUCUCAUCUGUAGACAUUAUUUUCAUCAGUGGGAUGUUUUAUUGGAAACAAAGUCAAAAUAUGGUUUCCAUUUCUGUCCUUGCAUCCAACAGGGUUACUCAGGAGAUCCAGGUCUACCCGGUCCCCUGUUCUUUCAGAAUGGAAGUGAUGCCAGAGGUGAGAAAAUGCCUAUUUGUAGAAGCGAUUUAACAAUAAAAUAUUUUCUUUAAUCAAAGUUCCAGUAGUUUACAACCUUGUUGCUUACGACUUUGGCUAUUAAUAUUUUCAGCAAAAUAUGGCUAAAUACACUACUUUGUCAUCACACAAAAGGCAGUGUCUGAUACAGUGCUUUCCCUGUAAAUCCAAAGAGAACUCUGUUUCAUUACUAAACUAAAAAAAUACUGUUUAAGACUAAUAAAGGCUCUUUUACUAUUUCACAGUCCUGUGUAUGUUUCAGGUGCUAAAGGUGAGCAUGGGUAUCCAGGAACACCAGGACUCUCAGGUGACCCAGGGUACCCGGGCUUGCAAGGACUUCCUGGCCCACCAGGGUUAACAAUACCAGAGGAGCCAGGUCCUCCUGGACCACAAGGGUCUUCUGGUCCAAAGGGCUACAAAGGAGAACCAGGGAGUUAUAUCAAUUUUGAAACCAAUCCAUUCCCUGGACCAAAGGGAACUAAAGGACUCCCCGGACCUAAAGGUGCAAGAGGCAUCGCUGGUCGUCCAGGUAUAUAUUUACUCAAUGUAUAUUAAAGAAAACACAAUACUUUCUUGUGUGUGAUCUUUUAAAUAUUAUUAAACUAUGUGAACAACUGUGAGGUUGUAAAAUGUUUUUGUGUAUGUUCAUUUGACUAAGGACCUUCUAAUUUGUAUAUUUAUGGUAUGGCAUACUUUGUGGGAUCUGACUAGGAUGUGGAGGUAAGUUUGUUUUUCCAAAGAAGUGUAUUUACAUUCAGUUUUGUAUUAAAAUAACUUAUUUUCUAUGGUUGGGAAAUGUUUUUUGGGAUGGUUGAUCCUACAGAUUACUAUUGUGAGCCUGGUGUCCCAGGUGACCCUGGAGACCUAGGAGCCAAAGGAUCUCCUGGAAACAAAGGGGUCAAAGGAAUUAAAGGUGAAAUGUGACUGUGUAUAUCAAUUGAUCUCACAAAGACAGUGUUACUGAUAUACAGCAUCAAAAUAUAUAUAAACAAACUGCAAUGUAUUCAUACAUUUUUGCCAUCCCUGUCUCCUACAGGGUGUCCAGGGGAAUGUGAAUGUCGUUUUGGUGGAGGAAUCAUUGGGCUUCCGGGUCUACCUGGUUUUCCAGGAUCUCCAGGAUUACCUGGAGCUCAAGGAUUUCAGGGGGACCUAGGACUGAAGGGAGAUGAGGGCCCAAGAGGACCACAAGUAAGGAUAUUGUGACUAUCACUACAUGAAUAAAUGACAUUUAAAACAUGUUUAAAAGUAUGUUCACAAAGAACAUACGUUUUGUGUUAUGAUCUUAUUUUUCAUCUAGGGCUUUCAAGGAGUUGCUGGUUUGAAAGGACAUAAGGGUCAGAAAGGUGACUCUUUUGUGACAGGUGGCAAAGGUGAGCACCUGUUGAAGCCAAAACUCUAAGCAAGGUUUGGUGUUAUAAAUGUCUAAAACACCGGUGACUAACUCCCCUAAAAAAAAAAAUAAUACUCAAAAUAUUAUUCCCUUUUUAUUUUUCCACAAACUAUAGUUAAAGCUACAGUGUGUAAUUUUGGAUGACUUAUUCACAGAAUUGAAUAUAUUGUCCACAACUAUGUGUUCAUAUAUGUAUAAUCACCUGCAACAAAAAAAUCAAUGUUUUUUCAUCAACUUUGAAUGAGUUAAAUAUAGUUACAUUAGGUGGACCAUGGGAAAAUUGAUGGACUUGA